CUACUUGCUGCAAUGGGGUGAUGCUCUGCUUAUUUCUCCCUCAUUUCUUCCAUUUCCCUUGGUGCAGCCUGAUGUACGAACUUGGCAAGGGAGUGAACAGAGUUUUACAUCCAGUUCUACUUGCUCUAUGUUCUGGAAAUGGCUGGAGAGGAGUCUGCUAUCUAUCUGCUUUAUUGCAUCCACCGACCAAAGAGCUGUCAGUAUGCUGUGAGGAAACGAACAGUGUGUAUUGUUCACAGAGGUUCGGCUUUACUGAAGAAUAUAUCCAGAAAAUAUUAGAGGAGUCAGGAGAUCCCUGUCUUUUUUUGAACAGGGAAGCCCAGAACUGGAUGCAGUACUCCAGAUGUGGCCUCACCAGGGCAGAAGAAUCACCUCCCUUGAACUGCUGGCCACACCCUUCUUGAUGCACCUAAGGAUACCCAUUGGUUUUCAUGUCCAGAGGGGCACACUGCUGGCUCAGUGG
ensembl:lncRNA